AGUGAACGCUGGCGGUAGGCCUAACACAUGCAAGUCGAACGGCAGCACAGAGGAGCUUGCUCCUUGGGUGGCGAGUGGCGGACGGGUGAGGAAUACAUCGGAAUCUACUCUGUCGUGGGGGAUAACGUAGGGAAACUUACGCUAAUACCGCAUACGACCUACGGGUGAAAGCAGGGGACCUUCGGGCCUUGCGCGAUUGAAUGAGCCGAUGUCGGAUUAGCUAGUUGGCGGGGUAAAGGCACACCAAGGCGACGAUCCGUAGCUGGUCUGAGAGGAUGAUCAGCCACACUGGAACUGAGACACGGUCCAGACUCCUACGGGAGGCAGCAGUGGGGAAUAUUGGACAAUGGGCGCAAGCCUGAUCCAGCCAUACCGCGUGGGUGAAGAAGGCCUUCGGGUUGUAAAGCCCUUUUGUUGGGAAAGAAAUCCAGCUGGCUAAUACCCGGUUGGGAUGACGGUACCCAAAGAAUAAGCACCGGCUGACUUCGUGCCAGCCGCCACAGUAA
rnacentral:rRNA from 1 species